GGCUGGGGUGCUAUCAUUGUACGUGGGCCUCAAGUACACAUGGUUACGCAUGCACCUCAUGUGCCUGCUGGGCUACUUUGAAAAUCGCACAUGUAGCUGACAGUAGGUUGGGCUGUUGCGAAAUUAAUUUUCAGUUUGAUGGGCCCAUCUGACGCUGCAGGUGCUUAUUUUAUUUUUUCCCGGUUAGACCAUUCAUCGCCUUCGCCUGGUAGCUGGUCAAGCGGCGGUUCGCCAUGGACGGCCUGGAAUUCUUCUUGAGGAAGCAGAAUCAGGAUUGGUUCCUAGGGUGGAUGCUGGUGAUAUUUUGGGGGUGGAAUCGAUGCCGUGGAGUCCGUGGUUGCUUCCAUCCAUGAAGCUUGUGGGCGCUCCACGGAUUUGAUCUCUUUCGAUCCCAUGGCAGGCAGUGGUGGCGAAGGGCAGUUCCAGAGUUGGAGGAUAAUGUUAGUGAGGUGGUUGGUGACUCAAAUGACAUGGCCCCAUAGGAUACCACCAAUGCAGCUGUUGUAGAGGAUCAACAACUCAAAGGGCUCCUGCUGGACUCGUCGACCAAACUUUUGAAUGGAGGUUGCCAUAGCAAAUGUCAUGCCGGAGAUAGCCCAUCGAUGGUGCAAAUGGCAUGUGUUGAAAAAGCAAACGAGUGCCUUUGGCCGCUGCUAGGCAAGGGUAGUGAAUUCAAAACAGGAGUUCAACAAGUUGGUGCAUCACAUGAUUAGUGAGAGAGUUUGAGGAUGGUUGGGCGUUUAUGCUUGAGAAGCUCUACAACAAAACACAUUUCGCACCCAAAUAUACAAGGUCCGGAUGAAGUGUUCUAAACCUUAUUUCAUGGAUGUUUUCUCUGCCAAAAUGACCAGCACGCAGCAGAGUGAAAACUGCAAACAUUUGCUCAAACCUGAACAAGGAAUACAUGCAUCCAAAAUUCACACGAUGACUGUUUGAAAAGUUUGGUGAGACGCUAUAUGAGGGUGGGUCAUAUAUUCUAAUUGAAUUUGUGCAUCGUCGCGAAUACAUAGCCAGGCAUGUAAAGAAGGAUUCCUAGGACAAGUGGUGUAAAAAUGAAUUCCUUGUUCAGGUGAAUAAGCUUGCUGAUGAAUUCAAGUGUGAGCGUGGAAUGUUUGAGCAUUUCGGCAUGGUGUGCAACCAUGCACUAAAGGUGAUGAUCCGGCUUGGCUGGAAGAGGUUCCAACAAAACACUUGCUGAAACGUUGGACAAGGGAUGCAAGGGAUAUACUCCCACCAGAGUUUCUGGCGCUACUAGAAGGACCAGGGUCCUCUCAAAUACUCCUCGCGGCGACAUAACAAUCUGCAUAUGCUUUGCCUUGAAAUUGUUAGACUGGAUGACAGCAAUGUGGAUGCAUAUACUCUUGCAAUGGACCAACUAAGAAAUGCGUAAACAGUACUGGAGCCAGUGGCUGCCAUACGUGACGAUAUGGGGUUGUCCGACAGAGAGAUGGCAGGUGAUUCUGCUUGUUCAGCUGUAGCACACAAGCAACAUUUUGGUCCAACGAAUCAGAUGCAAAGUGCCUCGCAAUGUUCAGAUAGUUCUGCAGCACCAUCAAAGAAGAGACCAGCAGGGCACGCUACCACAAGACGCGACAAAAGCGCCGUACGAACAGCCAGCUAAAAGGAUUAGGUUCUGUUCAAUAUGCAAGGGGCAAGCUCACAAAAGUAAUACAUGUCCUGAUGUCCACAACGUGGUUAUCUUCCAAAGGCGCCCAAGAAGCCACCUCGCUGCUCUAGGUGCAGCCUGAGGGGCCACAGAAGGAACACCUGCACCAACCCACCCAAGGAGGAGGAAUCCUCCUCCUAGUAGGAGUAGGACUCCUCCUUUCCUACUCCUA